UACGGGGGGAGCAAGCGUUGUUCGGAUUUACUGGGCGUAAAGGGCGCGUAGGCGGCCAGCACAAGUCAGUUGUGAAAUCUCCGAGCUUAACUCGGAAAGGUCAACUGAUACUGUGCGGCUAGAGUGCAGAAGGGGCAACUGGAAUUCUUGGUGUAGCGGUGAAAUGCGUAGAUAUCAAGAGGAACACCUGCGGCGAAGGCGGGUUGCUGGGCUGACACAUGACGCUGGAGGCGACGAAAGCUAGGGGAGCGAACGGG
rnacentral:rRNA from 1 species